rnacentral:rRNA from 1 species
UGGGGAAUUUUGGACAAUGGGCGCAAGCCUGAUCCAGCAAUGCCGCGUGAGUGAAGAAGGCCCUCGGGUUGUAAAGCUCUUUUGCCAGGGAAGAAAAGGUGAUCUCUAAUACAGGUCACUCAUGACGGUACCUGAAGAAUAAGCACCGGCUAACUACGUGCCAGCAGCCGCGGUAAUACGUAGGGUGCAAGCGUUAAUCGGAAUUACUGGGCGUAAAGCGUGCGCAGGCGGUUAUAUAAGUCAGAUGUGAAAUCCCCGGGCUCAACCUGGGAACUGCAUUUGAGACUGUAUGGCUAGAGUGUGUCAGAGGGGGGUAGAAUUCCACGUGUAGCAGUGAAAUGCGUAGAUAUGUGGAGGAAUACCGAUGGCGAAGGCAGCCCCCUGGGAUAACACUGACGCUCAUGCACGAAAGCGUGGGGAGCAAACA